AGACCAUUCAGGCCGAGGUUGAGAUACCCGGCCAUCACACCGCACUUACCGUUGGGUGACAGAUGGGCGGGUCCGCUAGAUUUUCGACGGGUUCUUCAUCGCAAUCUGGAUGCCAUGAGAUUAGCACUAGAUGUAUUACGUUACUCGGAUAUCGAUUGGCAACCAUACACCGAGGAUGUUAUCAGCCAGCUACAUCCUUAUUUUUUGGAUGGUGCUCAGUUCUGGCGUGCUCGCGUGCCACUGAUUUACUAUCAUAUUAUCGAG